rnacentral:rRNA from 1 species
UUCGGAAUGGAAAUUGAUAUUCUAGCGGCGGACGGGUGAGUAACGCGUGAGCAAUCUGUCCCAGACAGGGGGAUAACAGAUGGAAACAUCUGCUAAUACCGCAUGAAGCAGGGGCCCCGCAUGGGGAUAUUUGCUAAAGAUUCAUCGCUGAUAGAUAGGCAUGCGUUCCAUUAGGCAGUUGGCGGGGUAACGGCCCACCAAACCGACGAUGGAUAGGGGUUCUGAGAGGAAGGUCCCCACAUUGGUACUGAGACACGGACCAAACUCC